UACAGAGGGUGCAAGCGUUAAUCGGAAUUACUGGGCGUAAAGCGUGCGUAGACGGUUAUGUAAGUUAGGUGUGAAAGCCCCGGGCUCAACCUGGGAAUUGCAUUUAAGACUGCAUAGCUAGGGUGCGGAAGAGGGAAGCGGAAUUUCCGGUGUAGCGGUGAAAUGCGUAGAUAUCGGAAGGAACACCAGUGGCGAAAAGCGGCUUCCUGGUCCAGCACCGACGUUCAGGCACGAAAGCGUGGGGAGCAAACAGG
rnacentral:rRNA from 1 species